UACGUAGAGGGCAAGCGUUGUCCGGAUUUAUUGGGCGUAAAGAGCGUGUAGGCGGCCAUACAGGUCCGUUGUGAAAACUCGAGGCUUAACCUCGAGACGUCGAUGGAAACCGUAUGGCUAGAGUCCGGAAGAGGAGAGUGGAAUUCCUGGUGUAGCGGUGAAAUGCGCAGAUAUCAGGAGGAACACCGGUGGCGAAGGCGGUUCUCUGGGCCUGUACUGACGCUGAGGAACGAAAGCGUGGGGAGCGAACAGG
rnacentral:rRNA from 1 species